rnacentral:snRNA from 1 species
AAAGCUCUCUUUGCCUUUUGGCUUAGGUACGUACCCUUUCCCUUUUCAUCACACCGAGCCAUCGCUAAUAGCAAGCAGAUCAAGUGUAGUAUCUGUUCUUUUCAGUUUAAUCGCUGAAACUCGACUACGGUCGAUUUACGAUUAUCCUUAUUUUUCGCACUCGCUUGGUGCUCCCUGAGCUUGCUCACAGCAUCCUCGCACCGUGUCCUUGGCCUUACACUACCGCCUUGUGACGCAAAUACCU